UACAGAGGGUGCAAGCGUUGUUCGGAAUUAUUGGGCGUAAAGCGCGUGUAGGCGGCUUUGCAAGUCGGGUGUGAAAGCCCUCAGCUCAACUGAGGAAGUGCAUCCGAAACUGGCAGCUAGAGUACUAAAGAGGGUCGCGGAAUUCCCGGUGUAGAGGUGAAAUUCGUAGAUAUCGGGAGGAACACCGGUGGCGAAGGCGGCGACCUGGGUAGAUACUGACGCUGAGGAGCGAAAGCGUGGGGAGCGAACAGG
rnacentral:rRNA from 1 species